UAAGGAAUAUUGGUCAAUGGACGCAAGUCUGAACCAGCCAUGCCGCGUGAAGGAUGAAGGUCCUCUGGAUUGUAAACUUCUUUUAUCUGGGACGAAAACGGGAUUUUUAUCUCAAUUGACGGUACCAGAGGAAUAAGCACCGGCUAACUCCGUGCCAGCAGCCGCGAAAAUACGGAGGGUGCGAGCGUUAUCCGGAUUUACUGGGUUUAAAGGGUGCGUAGGUGGGCUUAUAAGUCAGUGGUGAAAUCUCCGAGCUUAACUUGAAAACGGCCGUUGAUACUAUAGGUCUUGAAUUAUCUGGAGGUAAGCGGAAUAUGUCAUGUAGCGGUGAAAUGCUUAGAUAUGACAUAGAACACCAAUUGCGAAGGCAGCUUACUACAUAUAAAUUGACGCUGAGGCACGAAAGCGUGGGGAUCAAACA
rnacentral:rRNA from 1 species